UGUCUUUAAACUGAAAGUGGGUAUAUUUAGAUUGAAUACUAGGAAGAAUUUCUUCAUUAUGAGGGUGGUUAUACACUGGAACAAGUUGCCCAGAGAAGCUGUGGAUACGUCAUCACUGGAAAUGUUCAAGGUGUUUCUCCCUGUAAUAUUUCUUAGUUUAUUUUAUUAUUAUUUCUAGAAAAGAAGGACUCUUUAUUCUUGAUGAACCAGGUUUCUUUCAAGCACACAGCUUUCCAACCAUAGCUGUAAAGGCAUUCAACUGAAGGUGAAGCUAAAAGAACAGAAAAUGGUGAAGACAGAUGGCCAAGGUUCUGCACAUAUACAAGGCAAAAUUCUAAAAAAAUCUCACUUUAGAAAUUUAAACAGCAGUAGGAAAGCUAGUCACUUUGCUGCCACUUUACCGUCUGGCAUGUAUACAUACAGACACACGCUCUUACACACAUAGAUAUUCUCCUAUAAAACUUUUGAUUGUCUAGUUUCUUUGUUGCUUUGAAAGUCUAGCUAUAUAAAAACAUCAUCUUCUAGCUGGUCCAAGGGUAGUAAAUUCAAUGUUAUUUUUUUCUUUCUGUUUUUUCAGUUUCCAAAAAUGCAUUUCAACACCCAACCUGUAGAUUUUGGACAGAAAUUACUUUAUUCAAAUUGGUACAGUUAAGCCUUACUUAUUGAUUUUAGUUAUGACACAUAUUGAUAAGGUAUUUUAUCAAUAACAGAGUUAAGUACAGCAAAUGACAAUAUUCAUAAUUCAUUAUAAAUGAUCUAGAGGUGAAAUAAAGUUUGGUGUUUAGGGCCUUUCUGACUCUUUACUAAAUAAAUCUGGGUUUCAUUUCGGUGAGAGGUUACAAAAGAAAAUUCCUAAAAAAACCUAUCAGACUAGUAUUGCUUGGGUAUGGCUUAAGGCUACAAAAUGAUCCAUUGAGCACAGGUAGGCUGGAAAUACAUGAGCACAUGUAACUUUUGGGAGUUAAAUAUUUCAUAACUUAAGAACACCGAUCUUAUUACAAUCCACCCAAGAUGUAUGCGUCACUCAGUUGAACUGACAUUUGACCAAUGGAUCAUUAAAGGGGUUUUUUUGAAGGCUUCCUGAGGACUCGCAGUACACUGGGUCAAGUGAUUCACAAAGUUUCCUGUCACUACCAGAACCAUCUCUCUGUGUGUCAGUGAAAGGGAUAGGAAGUACUUUUGAUCUUCAGAAAAGCAGGAAAGAAGAAGAAAUCUUUCCAAGCACUUUAAAGUGUUACAGUUUAAAGCACUUAGAAGUUAACAAAUGUAUAUUAAGCAGAAAGUUCACUCGGAUACCUCUCAUUAUUCUUAAGUCAAAGUAUUUCUGUAGUGGAAGCAGUGUGGGUUACCUCCAUUGUAUAUUUAGCAAUUUCUUCUCCUU